rnacentral:tRNA from 1 species
GGGGGCGUGCCGGAGCGGUCGAACGGGUUCGUCUUGAAAACGAAAGGCCCUUGACCGGGCCCGUGGGUUCGAAUCCCACCGCCCCCUCCA